GUGAGCGUGAAGGAUUUGUUUGUUUAUAUGUGCCCUGCACUUGUCCUGUUUGGGGUUGCAUAAACCGCCAAGAAUAGAUUGUUUGGAAUUACCUUUCACCGGAACUAAAAUUGUGUUUUUUGAUAGGUUUAGUCCAUGGAGCAGCUGGAACUGUUCUCGAGUCACUCGCUCAAGACAGCCUCCAAGUCAACAAUUGUGGGAUCGAUUAAGUUAAACGAACAGGGACAAGUUUGGUUGCAGUGUGUGAAAUUUGAGAUUUCGCGAGAGAUCAGUUGCUGACCCCCUCUGAUUUAUGAGUGUUAUUUUUCUAACUCUGCUCAGCGCAGGCAUUCGGUGCUGUCAAAAAGUAUUUAUUCGCCCUCUUCUCAAUUUCUUUCUUUCCCGCUCCACUUUAAUGUUUAAGAUCAAAAUGUAGAGCAUGUCCUCAGCACUUGACCAUUUUCAAGUUUCUAUUGCGUCCUUUGUCUUGCUGUCCCAAUUCUUACUAGGCACAUUUAAACCCAAGGCUACGCGUGGCCGGCAAAGGCACCAAUGAACUGUUCGACUCGCCAUCCAGCCGGUGCAAUAUAAGCCGCAGAGUGCGAGAGUCCAGCGACCCAAAAAGCAAAGCGGUGCCCCCCAGCGUCACCUCGUGUGCCAGAUCGCCGAAAUAUGAGCAAUAACUUCCCACUCUCACUUCUACAAAGCUGGCAGCAUGUGAUGCCGCCCUGUCCCAUGCCUCAAAGACUCCGAUGGAACGUCAGGUUUCCCGUGGGGAUCAUGGAACCGGAAACGUAAUGGGGGCGAAUGCCAACAAAAGCGGGGAGGUCAGGACCCCCAGCCGAGCGUUCUCCGCUUCCCAACUAUAUUUCACCUUCCAAUGCCCGGAAUGUGGGAGGAAGCCAGCGCAUCCGGGACAACCCACGCAAGCGCAGGGGACAACAUGCAAACUGCAUAGGAACAACGUACCUCAGAACUUCACUCUUCAUGAACUCUGUGCACAUCACUCAUGAUACCUGCCAAGAAGGAUUAUCAUGUUGACAGCAACACACAGCACCUGGCAAGU